CGUGUAGGCGGCACGAUAAGUUGGAUGUGAAAGCUCCCGGCUAAACUGGGAGAGGACGUUCAAUACUGUCGAGCUUGAGGAUGGGAGAGGGAGGUGGAAUUCCGGGUGUAGUGGUGAAAUGCGUAGAUAUCCGGAGGAACACCAGUGGCGAAGGCGGCCUCCUGGCCCAUUUCUGACGCUCAGACGCGAAAGCUAGGGUAGCAAACG
rnacentral:rRNA from 1 species